GUCUGUUUCAAAAGACGGGGAUGAGCUGUGAUUAGGAGUGAAAAGCUAAUCGAACCCGGAGAUAGCUGGUUCUCCUCGAAAGCUAUUUAGGUAGCGCCUCAUAUGUAUCCUCUCGGGGGUAGAGCACUGUUAUGGCUAGGGGGUCAUCGCGACUUACCAAACCAUUGCAAACUCCGAAUACCGAGACGGACUGUAUGGGAGACACACGGCGGGUGCUAACGUCCGUCGUG
rnacentral:rRNA from 1 species